GCGAUAGUAGCUCACCUGGAUAGAGCAAUGGUUUCCUAAACCAUAGGUAGAGGGUUCGAGUCCCCCCUGUCGCA
rfam:Lactobacillus dextrinicus DSM 20335 NODE_2, whole genome shotgun sequence.